rnacentral:rRNA from 1 species
UCAAAGAUUAAGCCAUGCAUGUCUCAGUACAAACUUUGCUAAAGUGAAACCGCGAACGGCUCAUUAUAUCAGCUGUUAUUUAAUGGACCUAUACCCAGUUUUCCUUGGAUAACUGUGGUAAUUCUAGAGCUAAUACAUGCACAUAUAGUCCCUGACCUUACGGGAAGGGCGCUUUUAUUAGUAUCACAAAAAACCGGUGAAACAUGACUUUGGUCUGUAAAAAAAAUGUAUUGUGAUGACUCUGGAUAACUUUUUUAGCUGAGCGCACGGUCUUUGCACUGGCGCCGCUUCUUUCAAGUGUCUGCCUUAUCAGCUUUCGAUUGUAUGUUAUAUGCAUACAAUGGCGAUAACGGGUAACGGGGAAUCAGGGUUCGAUUCCGGAGAGGGAGCCUGAGAAACGGCUACCACAUCCAAGGAAGGCAGCAGGCACGCAAAUUACCCACUCCCAGCACGGGGAGGUAGUGACGAAAAAUAACGAUGCAAGACUCAUCCGAGGCCUUGCAAUCGGAAUGAGUACACUUUAAAUCCUUUAACCAGGAUCCAUUGGAGGGCAAGUCUGGUGCCAGCAGCCGCGGUAAUUCCAGCUCCAAUAGCGUAUAUUAAAGUUGUUGCGGUUAAAAAGCUCGUAGUUGGAUUACAGUUGUGGACUGAUGGUUCUUCACCUUAUGGUGUUUACUAUCACGCUCCAAAACCGCUUAUACAAUGUAAAAGUUGUUGGGCUCCACUAGCUCGCACUGGAUGCUCUUGACCGAGUGUCCCGAGUGGCUAGUAUGUUUACUUUGAAAAAAUUAGAGUGCUCAGAGCAGGCUAUUAGUAUGGCCUGAAUGUCUAUGCAUGGAAUAAUGGAAUAGGACCUCGGUUCUAUUUUGUCGGUUUUCUACGGAAUCCGAGGUAAUGACUAAGAGGGACUGACGGGGGCAUUUGUACUGCGACGCUAGAGGUGAAAUUCUUGGACCGUCGCAAGACAAACAACAGCGAAAGCAUUUGCCAAGGAUGUUUUCAUUAAUCAAGAACGAAAGUUAGAGGUUCGAAGGCGAUCAGAUACCGCCCUAGUUCUAACCAUAAACGAUGCUAACCAGCAAUCCGUCGGUGUUAUUCCCAUGACCCGACGGGCAGCUUACGGGAAACCAAAGUCUUUGAGUUCCGGGGGAAGUAUGGUUGCAAAGCUGAAACUUAAAGGAAUUGACGGAAGGGCACCACCAGGAGUGGAGCCUGCGGCUUAAUUUGACUCAACACGGGAAACCUCACCAGGCCCAGACACUGGAAGGAUUGACAGAUUGAGAGCUCUUUCUCGAUUCAGUGGGUGGUGGUGCAUGGCCGUUCUUAGUUGGU